UCUGAUGGCUCUUAAAUGCUGUGGAGACACUUUGCUGGGAGGGCGUGGAUCCACUUCUCACUCAAAAGCAAUUCAAAGCUGUUCUAACAUAUGUAAUGGUAAUUUUUCUUUUUAAUUUUUUACCCACUAUCCCUCCUCAGCACAUGUCCAAACCAUUUCAGCCUUGCUUCUCUGUCUUUGUCUCUAAAUCAUAGAUAAUUUUUGUUGGUCACCCCCCCCAAAAAAAUCUUAGCAUCUUCAAAACCUCCAGCUCCUGUUGGUCUCCAUCUCCAAACCAUACAUCAAAGAAAAUCUCACUACCAUCUUGUAAAUUCCCCAUUUCACUUUUGCUGCUCUCAUUGUGAUGCUCAUCUCCAACCACUCAACCUUGCUUGCACUCUCUUCUUUACUUCUGUCCACUAUCUUUGCUUUGGAUGAUUGACCACCAAAAUUGAAUUUGCUUUAAAUAUGUGUUUGGCUUUUUGGCCUUACGUUUUUUUCUUUUUUCCUUUUUUGUUAUGGGGGGUGGGAUCAGGGUUACUACAUGAAAUCUGUCAGUAGGUGGCAGAGUUUGCCAAGCACAGCGGUAAACGGUGGAGCAUGCUCCACUGUGUCCAUAUUUAUUAUCUUUUUUUCUUUCUAAAAGUCAUUAAAGAUCAGCUUGAGUUUGACAGUAAUAAUCUGUAUCUUCAGUAUCUGAAGGUGAGUCCUCACCAGGUCGGCAGGUUACUACAGGAUUCUCCAACAAUAAAAGCAUCACACCUAUAAAACAGGAGUAUAAAUAAAACAAACGCCAUUCUGUAUUUUAUGAAAGGGGACUCGGCUAUACUGUGUUAGGCUGAGUGUUACCCCAGUGCUUUACCUUGAUGACGCCGUGGUAUAGCCCCGGCAUGUGCGCUGACUGUUUUGCAUGACAUGUCAGCGCACCAAUCAGUUGCAGAGGAGCUGAUUGAGUCUACUUCCCUACACUGGAAUAGCUGAGGGGAAACGGACGGACGGCGAUCGCACACGGAUAUCUCAUCAUCAGCAGAGACUGUGCCGUCAGAUCGCAUCUGAGAGACCUCCUAGAUACAGCGGGCCAUCGUUUCUCUUUCGACCCGGUCACAGUGUCUGCUGCAGGGAGAUGGCCGGUAUUCUGGCGUGGUUUUGGAAUGAGAGAUUCUGGCUCCCUCACAAUGUAACCUGGGCUGACUUAAAAAACACAGAUGAAGCAACGUUUCCGCAAGCCGAGGAUCUCUAUCUGGCUUGUCCUUUAGCAUUCUGCAUCUUUAUGAUACGACUGGUUUUCGAAAGGUUUAUUGCCAGACCAUGUGCCAUGGGCCUGAAGAUCCAGACUAACGGGCCGCAAAAAGCACAACCCAAUGCCAUCCUGGAGAAGGUCUUCACUGCUAUAACCAAGCACCCAGAUGAGAAGAGGCUGGAGGGUCUCUCCAAGCAGCUCGACUGGGAUGUGCGGACCAUCCAGCGCUGGUUCAGACAACGACGCAACCAAGAGAAGCCCAGCACUCUCGCCAGAUUCUGUGAGAGCAUGUGGAGAUUUACAUUCUACUUAUACAUAUUUACCUACGGAGUACGAUUCCUUAAAAAGACUCCAUGGUUAUGGAACACUAAAGAGUGCUGGUACAACUACCCUUACCAGCCACUGACUGUGGACAUCCAUUAUUACUAUAUACUGGAGCUGUCUUUCUAUCUGUCGUUGCUAUUUUCCCAAUUCACAGACAUCAGGAGGAAGGAUUUCCUGAUCAUGUUCCUGCACCAUGUGGCAACAAUCUCUCUGAUUGUAUUCUCCUAUGUGAACAACAUGGCACGAGUGGGAACUCUGGUCAUGUGUCUCCACGAUGCAGCUGACGUGCUGAUAGAGGCUGCCAAGAUGGCCAACUAUGCCAAAUGUCAGAUACUGUGCAACUUGCUAUUUGCAAUGUUUGCUAUUCUCUUCAUAAGCUCCAGGCUGGGAGUUUACCCCAUCUGGAUUUUAAAUACCACCUUGUUUGAGAGUUGGGAGAUUAUAGGGCCCUACCCAUCCUGGUGGGUCUUCAACCUGCUUCUGAUCAUGCUGCAGCUGCUCCACUCCUUCUGGUCCUACCUCAUAGUGAAGACAGCAUGCAGAGCCAUCUCCAAAGGAAAGGUGGGGAAGUGGAAUCCGUUACAUUCCCUGAGGGGGAAAACUCCAUGCUUUUCCUGUACCACCCUUUUGCAACUUCCUCUGAAAUAUCUGAACCUCUACAGGAUGGAUUGACUCAUAAUUGUGGACAGACAUUUGGGUUCCCUAGACAAUCAACCCAAUUAGGUGUCUAAAGAUGACCGCAGCGACAUCGAGUCCAGCUCUGAUGAGGAUGACAGCCCACCGCCAAAUCAGAAGCACCACACCAGCGCCACCAAUGGGACAAACAAAAAUCACGGCACCAACGGCUACCUGAUGGGAG